UACGUAGGGUGCGAGCGUUAAUCGGAAUUACUGGGCGUAAAGCGUGCGCAGGCGGUUUUGUAAGCCAGAUGUGAAAGCCCCGGGCUUAACCUGGGAAUGGCAUUUGGGACUGCAAGGCUGGAGUUUGGCAGAGGAGACUGGAAUUCCUGGUGUAGCAGUGAAAUGCGUAGAUAUCAGGAGGAAUACCGAUGGCGAAGGCAGGUCUCUGGGCUAUAACUGACGCUCAUGCACGAAAGCGUGGGGAGCAAACAGG
rnacentral:rRNA from 2 species